AGACGAAGAAGCAAAGCGGAGCCCGCGGAGUCCGAGUACGAAGAGACGGAAGAUGUUUUUCUUAUGUUUUAAUGAAAAACAAAAAGUACGCAAGCGGCUACACGUUUGGAUUUUGAUGUUGAGUCCAUUCAUGACAGCGCCAGCACAAGCAGGCUGUGAGUCGGCGGUGCUCAAGACUCCAAAUGCUACUGAAUAUAAAACACAUUCCUUUGAAUCAUACAGAAAAUGAAAACAAUUCGAGAUUUUCUGUCAAAGCAAAGGAGCGUACAGCCUGAAGUACAGAGUCACUAUGAAUACUAGAUACUCUUCCAAGUUGAAAACUGCUUCAAAGAAGAAGCUUGAUAAAAGUCCCAACACAAGUGAAGCUCCUAUCCUACGCCGGAUUCUGCCCAAGAGGAGGAGAGGGACGGAAUUUGAUGAUAGCAACAUUAAUAAGGAAGACAAUAGCAUCCAUAACACAGUUAAUAUCAACAGUCAUGUUGAGGAGGAGCCUUAAACUGGUCAUAUUGCACAGGUAGUUGACAGAGGCUUGGAUUAUUUAGAAGGGUGUUGCUGGUCAACUGCUCCUUCCCGUCCAAAAGUCGCAGCCCCCAACAAAAAACUAAGACCACUAGCUGGCCUGUGCCCAUCUUGUCGGAAGUUCUAUCAGAGGCCCAAGAGAUUGAAGACUCCCAUCAAAAAUAAACUCUUGGAUAAUGGUAAGUGUACCUGGGUUUGUUUAUUGUGGGGGGACACGUUCAAGACCCACUCGCAAUAGACUGUUUUCGGCCAUGUGACUACAUCCGGGGCACCUGUUGGAUGGGUUCACUAUACUGACGCGCUGUUCACUCUAAUGCUUUUGCAUAUAGACCGGAGUUACACAAAAGUUCGUACGACUGUUAAAAUGAUGGCUAAAAAGACUUUGGAAAGUUAUCGGUGCUCAUUAGAUGUGAUUUCAAGAAACCGUUACGACAAGAAGUGUGCUUUGAUCUACAAUAUCGACCCAUAUGCCGUGGAGAGACACAAAUGGAGCACACAACUCAGGGCAUCGGUAACCUAUCCAGACAUCGUCCACUAUCUCCUCUUCUCGACAAGCGCUUAUACCGUGGACCAACUAAAGAAUUACAAAGGUCUGGAGGACUACAACCAAUUCAUCAAUGGCUGGGUUCAUCAUGCGGGAGUAUCCAUUGUAAGCAACCUGUUUCCCCACACUGCUAAGGUUAGUUUACCACACAAUGCAAUUUAAAUAUGUAUUGCGUGAUUACAGUCAGCGUUGUGUUAAAUUAUGUCGAUUAUACCAACGAAAGUGGUGUAGAUUAUUAUUUUCAUUUUUGUUACCGAGAGAGAGAGAGAGAGGAAACUCCGUAUUUCUCAGCGACAACCCAGAAACCUGCCUGAUCUCGAGAAGUUCUGUGUGGAGGAGUGGGCAAAAAUCCCUCCUGCAGUGUGUGCAAACCUGGUGAAAAACUGCAGUAAACAUUUGAUCUCUGUAAUUGCAAACAAACGCUACUGUACCAAUAUUAACAUUCGUUUUCUCAGGUGUUCAAAUACCUUUUUGCAGUUUUAUCACACAAAUAAAUUGUUAAAAAAUCAUACAUUGUGAUUUCUGGAUUUUUCUUUUUAGAUUCUCUCUCUCUCUCACAGUGGACAUGCACCUACGAUGAAAUUUCAGAUCCCUCCAUGAUUUCUAAGUGGGGGAACUUACGAUAUAGCAGGGUGUUCAAAUCUUUAUUUUCUUCACUGUAACCCUAUCUCCUGCAUCUUCCUUUCUAACACCAACUGCCCUCAUGUCUUCCCUCACAACAUACAUCACCCUUCUCUUUGGUAUUGUUCUCGCUCUCUUCCCUGGCAGCUCCUACAUCAGCACCCUCCUUAAAAUACGUCCACUCAACUCUCUGCUCUGGACAUGUCCAAACCAUCGAAGUCUGCUCUCCCGAAGCUUGUCUCCAAAACAACUAACUUUGGCUGCCCCUCUAAUGAGCUCAUUUCUAAUCCUAUCCAACCUGCUCACUCCUAGUGAGAACCUCAACAUCUAUAUUUCUGCCACCUACAGUUCUGCUUCCUGUCUCUUCAGUGCCACCGUCUCUAAUCUGUACAUCAUGGCUGACCUCACCACUGUUUUAUAAACUUUGCCCUUUAUUCUAGCAAGGGCUCUUAUCACAUAAGACACCAGAUACCUUCCACCAGCUGUUGCAAUCUGUUUGGACCAAUUUCUUAACUUCAUUACCACACUCAUCGUUGCCCUGGAUUGUUGACGCCAAGUAUUUGAAGUCCACCCUCGCUAUCUCUUCUCCUUAGUCUUUCCCCUCCACCCCACUCAUACAUGCACAUAUAUUCUGUUUUAGUUCGGUUCAUCUUCAUUCCUCUCCUUUCCAAUGCCUGCCUCCAUCUUUCUAAUUAUUCCUCUACCUGCUCCCUUCUUUCACUGCAAAUCACAAUGUUAUCUGCGAAUAUCAUGCCCCAAGGAGAUUCCAGUCUAACCUCAUCUGUCAGUUUAUCCAUUACCACAGCAAGGAGGAAGGGGCUCAGAGCUGAUCCCUGAUGCAGUCCCACUUACACCUUAAAUUCUUCUUUCACACCUACGGCGCACCUCGCCACUCUCCUGCUGCCCUCAUACAUGUCCUGUACUAUUUUAACAUAUUUCUCUGCCACACAAGACUUACACAUGCAGUACCACAGUUCCUCUCGUAGUACUCUGUGAUGGGCUUUCUCUUGACCCACUGACACAAUGUAGCUCCCUCUGACCUUCUCUGGACUUCUCCACGAGCAUCCUCAAAGCAAAUCAUGCAUCUGUGGUACUCUUUCUAAGCAUGAAACCAUACUGUUGCUCGCAGAUGCUAACUUCUGUCCUGAGUCUAGCCUCCACUACUCUUUCCCAUAACUUCAUUGUGUGGCUCAUCAACUUUAUUCCUCUAUAGUUCCCACAGCUUUGCAAAUCGCUGUUGUUCUGAAAAAUGGGAGCACACUUUUCCUCAAUUCUGCAGGCAUCUUCGCACCCGCGAGUAUUCUGUUGAAGAAGUUGGCUGAAAACUCCACAGCCACCUCUCCAAAUUGCUUUUAUACCUCCAAGGGUAUGUCAUCAGGACAUGUCUUUCCACUUUUCAUCCUCUUUAGUGCCUUUGUAACUUCUCCCUUAGUAAUCCUUGCCACAUCCUGGUAUAUCACACUUGCCUCUUCUACUCUUCCUUCUUUCUCAUUUUCUUCAUUCAUCAACUUCUCAAAGUAUUAUUUCCAUGUAUUUAGCACACUACUGGCACCAGUCAACACAUUUUCUUCUCUAUCCUUAAUCACCCUUCCUUGCUGCACAUCCCUCCCAUCUGGCCAACCUAUAGACAUCAUUUUCUUCUUUUUCCAUGUCCAACCUGGCUUAAAUGUCAUCAUAUGCUUCUUGUUUAGACUUCACCAUCUCAGCCUUUGCAUACGUCGCAUCUCAAUGUAUUCCUUUCGCGUCUCCGAAGUCCUCUCAGUGUCCCACUUUUUCUUCGCAAACCUCUUCCCUUGUAUGACUUCCUGUAUCUUGGGGUACCACCACCACGUCCACUUUCCUAUACAAGACCCUGUCAUGCAUUUGCCCUUCCCUGUUUUACUCAUAAUUCUGCUACUGUUGCGUUCUUGGACCGUUUUCCUGUGUACCAACAUUGAACCAAAUAAAUCUGCUCAAACUGUACCUGGUCUCCAGAGUCAAGCAUUUUUGGUCCAACCCCGUGUUCUGCUCUUGGUAGAAUGUGAGUGCGAAUGGUUGUUUGUUUGU